rnacentral:rRNA from 1 species
CCUACGGGAGGCAGCAGUGAGGAAUAUUGGUCAAUGGGCGCGAGCCUGAACCAGCCAAGUCGCGUGAGGGAAGACGGUCCUAUGGAUUGUAAACCUCUUUUGUCGGGGAGCAAAAGACGCCACGUGUGGCGUUCCGAGAGUACCCGACGAACAAGCAUCGGCUAACUCCGUGCCAGCAGCCGCGGUAAUACGGAGGAUGCGAGCGUUAUCCGGAUUUAUUGGGUUUAAAGGGUGCGCAGGCGGAAGAUCAAGUCAGCGGUAAAAUUGAGAGGCUCAACCUCUUCGAGCCGUUGAAACUGGUGUUCUUGAGUGAGCGAGAAGUAUGCGGAAUGCGUGGUGUAGCGGUGAAAUGCAUAGAUAUCACGCAGAACUCCGAUUGCGAAGGCAGCAUACCGGCGCUCAACUGACGCUCAUGCACGAAAGUGUGGGUAUCGAACAGGAUUAGAUACCCGGGUAGUC